GCUCACUCCUUCGCUAUGGUUGAGGGGCUCAAUGGGCUUUUUGCCUUGGAUAAAUUUUAUUCUGUUUGCAUUUUGGUUUGUUCUUUAAGAUAAGUAUUCUAUUUUAUUGGAUAGAGUAUUAAAUUUUCUUAUUUAUUCUACUUCAUGUGAAAAAAUAUUGCAGAAAGCUGUAAUAGGAGUAUAGUGAUAAAAUACCAUAUUUCAUUGUGUCACUUUAUAUGCUAUGAAAUUAGGUAUUAUCAUAUCACCUUUGUAGUUCUGUUAUGAAUUUUUUGCCAUGUUUGUUUACAGGUAUUGGUUAUAUGCUGCUGUUA
rnacentral:misc_RNA from 1 species